rnacentral:rRNA from 1 species
AUGAACGCUGGUGGCGUGCUUAACACCUGCAAGUCGAACGGAAAGGCCCAAGCUUGCUUGGGUACUCGAGUGGCGAACGGGUGAGUAACACGUGGGUGAUCUGCCCUGCACUUCGGGAUAAGCCUGGGAAACUGGGUCUAAUACCGGAUAGGACGAUGGUUUGGAUGCCAUUGUGGAAAGUUUUUUCGGUGUGGGAUGAGCUCGCGGCCUAUCAGCUUGUUGGUGGGGUAAUGGCCUACCAAGGCGUCGACGGGUAGCCGGCCUGAGAGGGUGUACGGCCACAUUGGGACUGAGAUACGGCCCAGACUCCUACGGGAGGCAGCAGUGGGGAAUAUUGCACAAUGGGCGCAAGCCUGAUGCAGCGACGCCGCGUGGGGGAUGACGGCCUUCGGGUUGUAAACUCCUUUCGCUAGGGACGAAGCGUUUUGUGACGGUACCUGGAGAAGAAGCACCGGCUAACUACGUG